rnacentral:tRNA from 2 species
CCGCCAUUAGCUCAUCAGGAAAGAGCGCCAGCCUUCGAAGCUGGUUGCGCGGGGUUCGGGUCCCCGAUGGCGGUCCA